ensembl:lncRNA novel transcript
GAAGAUGGGCUGCUAUUUCGUCGGCUAAAUGCUAUCAUUUUAAGCACCGUUCCAAAGAAAACAGGGAUCUUGCCAGAGGAAAAUAACAUAUACCAUAAAGGAAAAAGAAAUGUGCAUCAAGGCAAAUAAACAGCUCUCUACUAAGGGCCUAGGAUCUUGCUAGACGAGUCAUUUCUCUGGUUGAAAAGCAGUUGAGAAAGGCAAGACAAGGGGGGCGGGGGCCCAGCAGGGCACCUCUGAGCCCUUCCUGCUGCUCUUCAAAGACAGACGCAUUUUCCUUUCUACGGUCUCCUUGCAAGUCUUCUGUAGGCCCUGCCACCUUCAGGCUGACUGACUGCCUCCUUCAAAUAUCAGCAUUUGCUCAGCAGAGCUUUGUGCUGGUGGACAGAUGGAUGUGCUGGAAGGAGACCCCUGCUGACCCCUGCUGACUCCAUGACAGAGGGAUGGAAAUUCUGCCCCUCCCAGACCUCACCCUAUGCGUUCUGUUUCCUUUAUAAUGAAAGCACAAUUAGAGGAAGGGUACUGGGGAGUCGACACCCUCAUGUCUGUGAGCUGACUGCAGGACGUCUCCUGUCCAGGUGCUGGCACCUCAUCUAACAUUUGAAGGCUCAGAAGAAAAGCCACGUCUGCCUACACAAUCUCACAAUCCGGCUUCAGCAAAGCAUGAGUUAAUUCAACUUCAUACUCGUGAACGUGAAGCGGGGGUUGGAAGGAAUGAAGGCUGCAGGACACCCAUGUACCAAGAAAAAGAAAGACAAAUUGGUUGUUUUAUCUACUUUACAUCAUGAUGGAGUCCUAAAAAGGGCCCCAUGAAGGCAGGCAGCCCAGGGAGGAAUGACUGGACGGUGACAUUGUGCAGGGGGUCUGGAAGUUGCCAGCGCAGGGGUUAGCAGCUGCAGCCUGGCCUGGUCCUGUCUGCCUGGCUGUCAAACCCAGAAGACCGUGGUUUCUGGUGGCCUCUGUGUGACAGCGGAGGAGGUGGGGCGAGGCCUGGAAGUGAAGCAUCUCGUGAGCCACUUAAGUGUUUAUGAAGCUCGCUAAUGUGCUUAAAUGAACGAGAAGCAGGUACUUGCUCCCAGGACCAGAGCCACCAAAGCAAUUUCCUCUGCAGCCCCUCAUACUUCGCACACUGGAAGCUUGCAUUCUUUCCCAGAGGACAGCCGGAUUACAGCACCGCCUCUAAUGCAACCCGAUCUGGUUUCUUUGAGCGCCGCGGUGAACGUGCAAUCUAUCUCAUAAAUGCAUCGCAGUGUUCCACAAAUCACCCACGUUCAUCCCUUGAGACGUCUUUAACUCGGGGCUUAGAGUUGCAAAUGAAUUCUCCUAUGGAUCUAUUAUUCCAUCAAAUAGCGGAGAGAGGGGACUAGCUUGUGCAGAGCCUUCAUAGAGCUGGGCUAAAUUCGAUUAUGCAAAGUCUAACGAGCACCAUUCAGCAAAACCAUGGUGGGUGUGAGCUGCAGGCCAGCCCCUCCACUGGGCCAUUAUCCAGGGGUAAACACCACUCGUGGGUUAGUUCCACGAGUUACUGGCUGAUUUGACCUGUGAUACUCCAAGGUGGAAGUAACCAAAUAAUAUGUAUCAUGAGCCCCAAGAACGAAGCCAGUGGAGAGUGGUACAUGCUAGAGGGUAACGCCUGGCCCUUUGCAGGACAGCACGUCAGCCAUGCGCCAUGGGACGAUGGUGGUGGCUGGGACACAGGAGGCCACGGCAGGAAAUGGGCAGGUGGGUGGGUCUAUGUAAGCUGGCUUUAGACUUCAAUCCACAAGCAUUUGCAGCUCAACUACUCAGCGUCUUAUCUUAUUUAAUCCUUUCAGCAAUAAACACUCUUUUCACAUGUAGUAAGGUUAAGGAGUCUACAUCACACCCUUUAUCAUUAUUAAUAAAGGGACACACCCUCCAGGGAUCCUAGGGAACCUCCUACCCACCCUGUGGUCACUCUAGGGAAAGGAAAGCUCUCAGGGACCGACGGGAGCCUGGGCACAUGCGCCACCACUCUCUCCUUUAUCCCCUCUAGCCCGGCUUGCUGGCUCUCACUUUCUUUUGUGCACUAGAACUCACGUACAAGUUGCACACCCAAACCCUUGCAUGCUGCAUUUCAGAGUCAACUUCAGUGAUUUUUGAGAGUGAUUUUGACAAUCCCAGUCAAAAUUCUAGCAGGUUUUUUUUUUUUACAUGACAAGUGGAUUCUAAAAUUCAUAGGAAAAUGCAAAUGACCUAGAAGAGCCAAAGCAAUUUUGGAAGGAGUAAAGUCGAAUGGCUGACGCUACCAGAUUUCAAGAUUCACUUGAAACGCACAGGAAUCAAGACAGGGUGGUGUCGACAGAAGGAAGGCGUCAGAGCAGGGUGACAGGAGGCAGGGCCACACACAGACGGCUGAUUGAUACCCGACAAAACCGCCGAGGUAAUUUCACAGGGAAAGGAACUCUUUUGAACAAAUGGUGCACCAACAAUUGGAUAACCAUACGGAAAAAAUUUAAAAAACAGAAGAACAUUGACCCUUCACGCACAUCAAACAUAAAUUAACUCAGAAUCCAUCAUAGGCUGGGUGUUGUGGCUCAUGCCUUUAAUCCUAGCACUUUGGGAGGCCAAGGCAGGCGGAUCACCUGAGGUCAGG